rnacentral:rRNA from 1 species
AGUGAACGCUGGCGGUAGGCCUAACACAUGCAAGUCGAACGGCAGCACAGUAAGAGCUUGCUCUUACGGGUUGCGAGUGGCGGACGUGUGAGGAAUACAUCGGAAUCUACUUUUUCGUGUGGGUUAACGUAGCGAAACUUACGCUAAUACCGCAUACGACCUACGGUUGAAAGCAGGGGAUCUUCGCACCUUGCGCGAUUGAAUGAGCCGCUGUCGGAUUAGCUAGUUGGGUGGGUAAAUGCCCACCAAGGCGACGAUCCGUAGCUGGUCUGAGAGGAUGAUAAGCCACACUGGAGCGGAGACACGGUCAAGACUACUAAGGGAGGGAGCAGUGGGGAAUAGGAGGCAGUGGGGGGAAGCAUGAUACAGUCAGAGCGAGUGGGAGAAGAAGGCGUUGCGGGUGGAAAGACGUUUUGUGGGGAAAGAAAAGCAGUAGGCUAAGACGAAGCUGUAGUGACGGUAAUGAAAGAAGAAGCACCGGCUAACUACGUG